rnacentral:rRNA from 1 species
CGGUGGCGAUAGCGGAGGGGCCACACCUGUUCCCAUCCCGAACACAGAAGUUAAGUCCUCCAGCGCCGAUGGUACUAUCCUGGAAACGGGACGGGAGAGUAGGACGCUGCC